rnacentral:rRNA from 1 species
AAAAACAUGUCUUUUUGUUUAUUAAUAUAAAGUCUGACCUGCCCACUGAUAUAUUAAAUGGCCGCAGUAUAUUAACUGUGCAAAGGUAGCAUAAUCAUUAGUCUUUUAAUUGAAGGCUGGAAUGAAUGGUUGGACGAAAUAUAUGCUGUCUCAUGAGAAUUUUUAUAAUUUUAUUUUUUAGUUAAAAAGCUAAAAUGUUUUUAAAAGACGAGAAGACCCUAUAGAUCUUUAUAUAUUUAUUUUUAUUAGUUAUUAGGAUUAUUUUAAUUAUUAAUUUAUAAUGUAUUUUGUUGGGGUGACAUUAAAAUUUGAUUAACUUUUAAUAUGAUUUUACAUUUGUUAGUGAUAUAUUUGAUCCAUUAAUAUUGAUUAAAAAAUUAAGUUACCUUAGGGAUAACAGCGUAAUUUUUUUGGAGAGUUCUUAUCGAUAAAAAAGAUUGCGACCUCGAUGUUGGAUUAAGAAUAAGAUUGGGCGUAGCAGUUCAAUAAUUUAAGUCUGUUCGACUUUUAAUAUCUUACAUGAUCU